UUCGGUGGUCAUAGCGUUAGGGAAACGCCCGGUUACAUUCCGAACCCGGAAGCUAAGCCUUUCGACGCCGAUGGUACUGCAUGGGGGACCGUGUGGGAGAGUAGGACGCCGCCGAAC
rnacentral:rRNA from 16 species